rnacentral:ncRNA from 1 species
UCGACUGAGGCAACACAUCAGUCAAAUGGUAACGCAGGUGUCCCAAUGUGAUCUUUGUCAGGACCGAAGCCUGGCGCGGAGUAAAAACGUAAAAGCUUACUUGAUUCCGAUGUUCAGCAUGAUCGAGACCAUGAGAGCGCGGACUAUCGAUUUUUCUUUUGACCACUGGCGGCAACAUAAGAG